GUCUGAUCUGCUCCAUGAAUUUAAUUUAAAUAGCUGCGGUNNNUUGACUGUACAAAGGUAGCAUAAUCAAUAGUUUUUUAAUUGAAAGCUGGAAUGAAUGAUUUGAUGAAAUAAUAACUGUCUCAAUUUUAUUUUAAUAGAAAUUUUUUUUUAGUUAAAAAGCUAAAAUUUUUUUAAAAGACGAGAAGACCCUAUAGAUUUUUUAAAAAAUUAAUUUAUUUAAAUUAUUUUUUAUUUGAUUGGGGUGAUUAUUUAAUUUAAUAAACUUAAAUGUUUUUAAACAAUAAUAUUUGUAUAUUUGAUCCUUAUUUUAAGAUUANNNNNNNAAAAUACCUUANGGAUAACNGCGUAAUUUUUUUGGAGAGAUCAUAUUGAUAAAAAAGUUUGCGACCUCGAUG
rnacentral:rRNA from 1 species